UCCAACUCUAAUCGAUCACUUCGAUUCGAUCAGUGGAAGAGGCAAAAUUGGUCCGUAUUUGUUUCGCGUCGUGGUGUAAUUUAAAAUUUGAUCGUCAAUCAGUAAUUUGUUCGAUCUAAGUUGCGGCAGUGCGUGUUACUAGUUUAGAAAAGGUGCGAGGCAGCGAAGCCAUUUGCCGUUACACCACCAUCCCAUUAGAGACCGCUUUUGACCCCACUCGUCGGCGUCGAGGUAAUCCCGGCGCACACGUGGCCGGAAGAGGGCCGCGUCACGUUCCUUU